AUACGGAGGGUGCAAGCGUUAUCCGGAAUCAUUGGGUUUAAAGGGUCCGCAGGCGGAUUAAUAAGUCAGUGGUGAAAUCCUCUCGCUCAACGAGAGAACUGCCAUUGAAACUGUUAGUCUUGAAUUCGGUCGAAGUAGGCGGAAUGUGUCAUGUAGCGGUGAAAUGCAUAGAUAUGACACAGAGCACCGAUAGCGAAGGCAGCUUACUAGACCUGGAUUGACGCUCAUGGACGAAAGCGUGGGGAGCGAACAGGAUUAGAAACCCUAGUAGUCC
rnacentral:rRNA from 1 species